GUCUACGACUACACACCCUAAAUGCUCCCGAUCUCAUCUGAUCACAGAAGCUAAGCAGGGUUGAGCCUGGUUAUACUUGGAUGGAAAAAAAUGAACACAAUAGGAAAAUGGGCUAUAGGCA
rnacentral:rRNA from 1 species